CGGUUAAAUUAAGUUAUUUAUAAUGACCUUAGGGCGAGGAGAUGGGGACGUUGGGUCUUAGUGGACUAGGUGUUGCACCUCCCGGAGCCCGCGUCACUUUCAUAACAUCUGGGUCUGUAAAUGGCUUCCACAACUACUAAUAGAAAAUUUAUUACUUACUCACUUUAGUAAUAGCGGCCGUCGCGACCCAGAUAAGACUCUAGACAAGCUGGUUGUCAUCGGCAAGGUGGAAGGCUAUCUGGGCAGAUCACUGACUCGCUGUUGUAACCUAGCCACGAUUCUCACGGGUCUCCACAUAAUAGCUGCGCUAAGGGUAGCUACAGACCGAACUAGCAGGGCAGCAGGCAUCUUAAGCAACGAAGAAUAUGAUUGAGGCGAAGAAGACUGCGGCCGCACCAGCUUGAUUCCUUCAAUUAGUUUUUUAUAUGUUGCUCAACGUUAAUUUUCUGCACAGCGAAUCUUAUCCCUGAGGUCGUAGGUCGAUCC